rnacentral:rRNA from 1 species
CUUACACAUGCAAGUCGAACGGCAGCAUGAUCUAGCUUGCUAGAUUGAUGGCGAGUGGCGAACGGGUGAGUAAUACAUCGGAACGUGCCCUGUAGUGGGGGAUAACUAGUCGAAAGAUUAGCUAAUACCGCAUACGACCUGAGGGUGAAAGUGGGGGACCGCAAGGCCUCAUGCUAUAGGAGCGGCCGAUGUCUGAUUAGCUAGUUGGUGGGGUAAAGGCCCACCAAGGCGACGAUCAGUAGCUGGUCUGAGAGGACGAUCAGCCACACUGGGACUGAGACACGGCCCAGACUCCUACGGGAGGCAGCAGUGGGGAAUUUUGGACAAUGGGCGAAAGCCUGAUCCAGCAAUGCCGCGUGUGUGAAGAAGGCCUUCGGGUUGUAAAGCACUUUUGUCCGGAAAGAAAUGGCUCUGGUUAAUACCUGGGGUCGAUGACGGUACCGGAAGAAUAAGGACCGGCUAACUACGUGCCAGCAGCCGCGGUAAUACGUAGGGUCCAAGCGUAAAUCGGAAUUACUGGGCGUAAAGCGUGCGCAGGCGGUUGUGCAAGACCGAUGUGAAAUCCCCGAGCUUAACUUGGGAAUUGCAUUGGUGACUGCACGGCUAGAGUGUGUCAGAGGGGGGUAGAAUUCCACGUGUAGCAGUGAAAUGCGUAGAGAUGUGGAGGAAUACCGAUGGCGAAGGCAGCCCCCUGGGAUAACACUGACGCUCAUGCACGAAAGCGUGGGGAGCAAACAGGAUUAGAUACCCUGGUAGUCCACGCCCUAAACGAUGUCAACUAGUUGUUGGGGAUUCAUUUCCUUAGUAACGUAGCUAACGCGUGAAGUUGACCGCCUGGGGAGUACGGUCGCAAGAUUAAAACUCAAAGGAAUUGACGGGGACCCGCACAAGCGGUGGAUGAUGUGGAUUAAUUCGAUGCAACGCGAAAAACCUUACCUACCCUUGACAUGCCACUAACGAAGCAGAGAUGCAUUAGGUGCUCGAAAGAGAAAGUGGACACAGGUGCUGCAUGGCUGUCGUCAGCUCGUGUCGUGAGAUGUUGGGUUAAGUCCCGCAACGAGCGCAACCCUUGUCUCUAGUUGCUACGAAAGGGCACUCUAGAGAGACUGCCGGUGACAAACCGGAGGAAGGUGGGGAUGACGUCAAGUCCUCAUGGCCCUUAUGGGUAGGGCUUCACACGUCAUACAAUGGUGCAUACAGAGGGUUGCCAAGCCGCGAGGUGGAGCUAAUCCCAGAAAAUGCAUCGUAGUCCGGAUCGUAGUCUGCAACUCGACUACGUGAAGCUGGAAUCGCUAGUAAUCGCGGAUCAGCAUGCCGCGGUGAUACGUUCCCGGGUCUUGUACACACCGCCCGUCACACCAUGGGAGUGGGCUUUACC